rnacentral:rRNA from 1 species
UACGGGGGGGGCAAGCGUUGUUCGGAAUUACUGGGCGUAAAGGGCUCGUAGGUGGCCAACUAAGUCAGACGUGAAAUCCCUCGGCUUAACCAGGGAACUGCGUCUGAUACUGGAUGGCUUGAGUUCGGGAGAGGGAUGCGGAAUUCCAGGUGUAGCGGUGAAAUGCGUAGAUAUCUGGAGGAACACCGGUGGCGAAGGCGGCAUCCUGGACCGACACUGACGCUGAGGAGCGAAAGCCAGGGGAGCAAACGGG